ACAGAUGCUUCAGUCUGCAUUUUUCUGAAAGAAAUGCACAACAUUUCUUUGGCAUACUUGACUAAACUUCACGAGGUAGACGUUCCAUAAAUUUUCCAGUUGUAAAGGAAGAUUACCUUCAGUGCUUUGUUUUUAUUUGGACAUCCUUCCAAUUAGAAUAUCCUAUGGAUCAGUAUCCACGGUUUGGCUGUCACUUAAAGGCAUUAUCAGCUGUAUCCUCAGACUUUUUUUUUUAAGUAAGCAACAAGGUUUGUGAUGGAUUUGUUUUAAAAGGUUGCCUUUUAUCCAUAUGAAUCUAAAGACUCAAUGAACAGUUCCCUUAUUCAUUCCUGACAGAUCUAGAAUCAUUCCUCCAUAUGGUGUCAUCUUUGCCUUUCUUCCCCUCAUUCAGUAUCAGUUUAGUGGUUUUUUUUUUUAAUUUUUUAUUUAGAUUCCUACCCUUUUCUGAUAAUGGAUCAAAUUUCUAGUUUGCAGUCCUCAGUUAAUCAUUUUCUUCAUAAGCUCAUACUCAUUGCCCUCUCAGCCAUACCGCUUUAUUAUUAUUGCUGUUUCGGCCCAUUCUUUACUCCAGGUAGGCAGCCUUGCUCACAGUCUCUGGCCUGUGACUCAUCUUUCCAUGUGCUAUUCUUCCCUCACCUGAUGCGUUCCCUCUCUCCAUUUUUGGAUACUAACGUAUCUUAGUCUAAGACAUGGGACUUCAGGAGUGCCUGGCUGGCUCAGUUGGUGGAGCAUGCGACUCUUGAUCUCGGGUCAUGAGUUCAAGUCCCACAUGGGCAUGAACCCUACUUAAAAAAAAAAAAAAAAAAAAAAAUAGCACUUUAAUUCCAAGGCUGUUUUAUGCUACUGAUUAUAGUCAUUAUACUAUGAAAAAAGCAAUGCUUAGACAGAACUGGUCAGAAGUGGCCUAAGAGUGCAUUAAGGAAGAAGAGGUCUAAGUAAAUUAGAGGGUACCUCCAGGUGAAGUCAGCCAUGUGGAAAGGGGCACAUGGAUACUAGAGUCCAGAGUCUGGGGGUCAGAAUGCCAGGAAGGUUGGUAGAACUAAGUUUUGGUCUGAAUUCAGAGGUCACUCUCUCUUUGAUGUGUUUUCUGUUUCUUGCUCUAAGUACCUACACCCUAAGGUCCAACGUCUGUUGGAAGAUUCCAGGUGAAACGUACUCCUGGAUUUCCUCAUAAAUCUCACCUGCAGACACACACACACACACACACACACACACACACACACACACACGUGCACACGUACAUACCCAUGCAAGCAUACGCACAUUUAAUUACUUCUCUGGGCCCAAUAGGAAUGCCUAUAGAUGGUAUAAAGAGGUGUUAGGAAUAGCCCAAUUUACUUUGACAAAGUUGGAGGCUGACUGUAUACAGUGGAAAAUUUGGGAAAGUCAGCCCUUUAUCUCAGACUCUCAUCCCUAGUCCUGUUCAGUCCUCACUUUGGAGCACUUCUCAGGAAGCCUCUGAUUUUACUCUUAAGUGAACUGAGUCCACAAGCAUGCUGAACUAGCUUUAUUCAUCUGUUUAAAAUAUGGGUUACUUCCAGUUAUUUUGUAUCCUCUGCCAUUUAAUAGUCUUGUUGAAAAUUUGAGAGAUUACACUAUGUGUGCAUUUAAGAUUGACACGUUAAUUACUUUAAAUCCAGAGAGAGAAGGCAUCUUGCUCUCUGAUGUUUUUUCUUCACUGUUGUGGCAGUUUUAAAAGGAGACGACAAUACGCUUUUUGUAAACAUUUUCUUAGGUUUCAGAGUGCAUUCAGGAAGCCUCUUCUGACAAUUUAGAAAGAAACUUUUAGCAAAUUUGUGACCUUUAACCUUUUUUUGGUUCAACUCUAUGUGUUUCAUCUUUAACUGUUUCUCUGAGAAUGUUUCAUUUUGUCUUUGGCUUUAAUGCCAUCAUUUUGUUACGUUUCAAUUUGUAACAAAUCAAAGGGCCAUUAAUUAGUUUGGCCCCUAACCAUGUAUUCUAUCAGUAAAAUAUUGCCACCUUUUUAAAGAUUUCUUUUUCUUUACAUGCAUUCUAAUACAUGUUGUCAAAGGAGAGUUUGUCUUCUCAGCCAGCCUCAUUUAUACCCCAUCUCUAGAGAUGUGAACAAAUCAUACUGUUAAAAUGGCCCCACCUCAGUAAUUUAUAAGCCACGUUAGUGGAGGUGGAUGAAAGCAUUGGCAUAUGUUAAAGUGCCAGAGAAAAAGGAGUGAAGUCAUUUAAUACUGCAUCCAUAACUUGGUUGAGGAUUUGAAUAGUCAAUAGGACCUUUCAUCACAACCAGAAGUAGUAGUAAAAUCACUUUUUUGGUAGAGGAAAUGACAGAAUUUAGUAAUAUUUGUUACUUCAGUAUUUGGGAUCAGUCCAGCCCGUUUUGAAAGCACAAGCUUAGAAAGACAGGCCUUCAAAUAGAAAUCCUCAAGUGUUGUUUGAAUUGCUGAGAGGAUUGGUAUGGCCUGUUUGCCCUCUUCCUGUCAUUGCGGUCUAAAGGUAUGUGUGUGUGUUCUGUGCUGGGCUUUGAAAGUGAAUAAAGCAAAAUGUCUUGGUUUUAGUACCAUUUAGUAAUAUUUUUCACGUGUCAGCCCCUUUGUCUGGAAAUAGCUUCCUUUGUUGGUUAAUGUGUAACCCUGUAGGAACAGGCCUGGCAAAAUUCAAGCACAGUAUAAUCAUCAUUAGUUAAAAAGAAACAGGUUCUGGGGCCCCUGGGUGGCUCAGUCAGUUGAGCGUCCAACUCUUCAUAUCAACUCAGGUCAUGAUCCCAGAGUCGUGGGAUCAAGUCCUUUGUUGGGCUCCUUGCUGAGUAUGGAGCCUGCUUAAGAUUCUCUCUGUCCCCCUCUGCCCCUCUCCCCUGUUGCAUGUGCUUUGUCUCUCCCUCUCUCUCUCUUUCUCUCUCUCUUUGUCUCUAAAAAUAAUUAAUAAAAUAAAAUAAAUAAAAUAAAAUAAAAUAAAAUAAAAUAAAAUAAAAUACCAGGUUCUGCCAUAAUUGUCAGUGAGUUUAUAAGUACAUUGUGUUAGAAUUUGUGUAUAGCACAGUAGUUUGCUUUCAGUUUCCAGAACAUAAACAGUAGUAAAUAAAAAAGUUACAAUGCUUUUGCCUUAAAUUAAUGGAGAGUUUUAUAGUUUGAAACACACACACACACACACACACACACACACACACACACACACACAUGACCCUCAUUAUCGCCCUACGAAAUGAAAAGGGCAGCUAAUGUUAAAUGAGUUUGAAGACAGUAUGGCUGUUGACAUCUGUCACUCCGGUUAGGAUCACAUAUUCCGACAGGUGUGUCAGAGAUUCCCUUACUUCCAUAUACUUCAUUGUUCUGUGUACAGUUGACCCUUAAACAACAUGGAUGUGAACCAUGAGGGUCCACUUACAUAUGGAUUUUUUUCAGUAAGGACAGUAGAAUAUGUGUUAAUCAACUGCUUAUGUUAUUGGUAAGCCUUCCAGUCGAUAGUAGGCUAUUAGUAGUUAAGUUUUGGGGAAUCAAAAGGUAGAUGCAUUUUUCAACUGUGUGGGCAGUCGGCAUCCCUGACCCCUGCCUUGUUCAGUGGUCAACUGUAUUUCUAUCCUAAAAGUGCACACAGAAUCAAAGAAGGCGACAUUCUCAGAUAGAAAAGGGACUGAAUGUUCAUUGAGUAGAGGCAAUUGUUUUGUACAUUAUGAUAUUUCUAUUAGUAAGCCCAAUGCUUGAAACACUAUAAAGUCUCAAAAGAUGUUGACUGACUGAAUGAAUGAAUGGUGAUACAGCAUCAUCACACAGUUAAGAAACUGAGAUCCAGAAAAAUCAUGACUUCCUUAAGAUCGAUGAAUUGAUUCAACAAGUAUUUUGUCACACUUUUACCGUGUACUGUAUAUUCUGAGUCUCAACUGAGAGAGCAGUGCAUGAGACAUACAAGAUCCCUGCCUCAUAAAUAAGCCAGACACAAAAGCACAAAUAUUGUAUGGUUCCACUUACAUGAAUUAUCUGGAAUAGGCAAGUGCAUAGAGACAGAAUGCAUAGAGACCAGGAGCGGCAGGUUGGGGGGAGGGGGGGAAUGGGAGUUAUUACUUAGUGGCUACAGUUUCUAUUUGGGGUGAUGAAAAAAUUUUGGAUGAAGAUGGUGUUGGUAGUUACAGAACAUUGUGAAUGUAAUUAUAAUGAGCCUAUGUUAUACACCUAAAAAUGGUUAAAAUGACACAUUUUACUCAGUAUAUUUUACCACAGUUUUAAAAAUUAAUAUAUUAAAAACCGUUGAAUUAUAUCCUUCAGAUGGGUGAAUUAUAUAUCACAAUAAAGCUAUUUUUAAAAAAGAAAGGAACCUAUGUCAUUAAACUUACAAGCUAAUAGAAAGAGACAGACAGUAAACAAAAUAAUUUUAGAUUGUGGUUAAGUGCUGUAACCGAAACCAAUUAGGCAAUAUAAUGGGAAGUACCUGGAAAGGGACUUGCUCUAGAUAAUGUUGUCAAAUAAGCCUUACUGAGAAAGUGAUACUGAGCUAAGACAUGCAGUUGACAAGGAAUCAGACAUGCAAAGAGCUAGGAAACAGUGGAGCAGUUUGUGCAGAAGCCCUGAUGUAGGCAAGAGCUUGUUGUUUUUAAAGAAAGGUAGAUAGCCAAUGUGAUACGAGUAUAGUAAAUAAGGGGAGAGGUAGCCAGGAAGCAUAUCAUAUAAGGCCUUAGAGAUUAUAAAGAGUUUCAGUUUUGUCUUAAUAUAAGGGGAAGCCAUUGAAUAAUUUAAGUAGGAAAGGGACUUGAUUUGAUUUAUUUUUUCAAAGGUUGCCCUAGCUGCUAUCAAGGAUUAUGGAGAGCUAGAAUAGUAGUAAGUUACCACUGGGGUGCCUGGAUGGCUCAGUCGGUUAGGUGUCAGACUCUAGCUUGAGUCAUGAUCUCACGACUUGUGGGUUUGAGCCCCAUAUUGGGCGGUGCAGAGCCUACUUGGGCUCCUCUCUCUCUCUCUCUCUCUCUCUCUCUCUCUCUCUCUCUGCCCCUUCCCUGUUCAUGCUCUCUCUCUCAAAAUAAAUAAAUAAACUUGAAAA